UACAGAGGUCCCAAGCGUUGUUCGGAUUCAUUGGGCGUAAAGGGUGCGUGGGCGGCGCGGUAAGUCGGGUGUGAAAUCUCGGAGCUUAACUCCGAAACUGCAUUCGAUACUGCCGUGCUUGAGGACUGGAGAGGAGACUGGAAUUUACGGUGUAGCGGUGAAAUGCGUAGAUAUCGUAAGGAAGACCAGUGGCGAAGGCGGGUCUCUGGACAGUUCCUGACACUGAGACACGAAGGCCAGGGGAGCAAACGGG
rnacentral:rRNA from 1 species